GAUGAACGCUGGCGGUGUGCCUAAUACAUGCAAGUCGAGCGGACAGACGAGGAGCUUACUCCUCUGCCGUUAGCACCGGACGGGUGCGUACCACGUGGAUAACCUACCUAUCAGACUGGGAUAACUUCGGGAAACCGGCGCUCAUACCGGAUAAAAUGUUGAACCGCAUGGUUCAACAUUGGAAUACGGUCUUGCUGUCACUUAUACAUGGAACCGCGUCGCAUUAGCUAGUUGGUAAGGUAACGGCUGACCAAGGCAACGAUGCGGAGCCGACCUGACAGCGUGCACGAGCACACUGGAACGGAGACACGGUCCAGACUCCUAUGGGAGGCAGCAGUAGGGACUCUGCCGCAAUGGACGAAAGACUGACGGAGCAACGCCGCGUGAGUGAAGAAGGUCUUCCGAUCGUAAAACGCUGUUAUUAGGGAAGAACAAAUGUGUAAGUAACUAUGAACGUCUUGACGGUACCUAAUCAGAAAGCCACGGCUAACUACGUG
rnacentral:rRNA from 1 species